rnacentral:rRNA from 1 species
ACGGGAGGCAGCAGUGGGGAAUUUUGCACAAUGGGGGAAACCCUGAUGCAGCGACGCCGCGUGAGUGAAGAAGUAUCUCGGUAUGUAAAGCUCUAUCAGCAGGGAAGAAAAUGACGGUACCUGACUAAGAAGCCCCGGCUAACUACGUGCCAGCAGCCGCGGUAAUACGUAGGGGGCAAGCGUUAUCCGGAUUUACUGGGUGUAAAGGGAGCGUAGACGGCGAUGCAAGUCUGAAGUGAAAGGCGGGGGCUCAACCCUUGGACUGCUUUGGAAACUGUAUUGCUAGAGUGCAGGAGAGGUAAGUGGAAUUCCUAGUGUAGCGGUGAAACGCGUAGAUAUUAGGAGGAACACCAGUGGCGAAGGCGGCUUACUGGACUGUAACUGACGUUGAGGCUCGAAAGCGUGGGGAGCAAACAGGAUUAGAUACCCUGGUA